rnacentral:lncRNA from 1 species
AACCAUUCCUUUGUUCUUCACAGUCCACCAAUUUGCUGGGACAAGAUACUCACUUUUCAAUGCACCUGAAUAUUUGUUAACAAGCGCGAUAUCGCGAUCCACCUCUAGUUUAAAACCUGUGAAAAGUCCUAUACCUUGAGUUCCCGCAACUCCAUGCAUGUAACACUCUAAAUUAUGCCAUGUGAUGAUAUCUCCAGGGAGAUUUAAAUAAGGGGAUUUUGUGGUGUCGAUUAUUAUUUCCUGCCCAACGUCGGAAUAUCCAAUAGGUGGGCAUUUCGGAACAAGAUCCAAUAUGUUAUGAAUUCUCAUAACGUGAAGGUGUUUUAAUUUGUUAAAUGCGUUAACAAAAUUGAGAUCUCCAACUUUAGGACUUGCAAAUACAAAAGCUGUCACUGGAAAUUCCUUCCCAUUACUUGACUUGUUUAUUUUAUUGUAAGCUAUGUCAACUGCAUUCAGAGUCGCUAGGGAUGCACCUAGGCUAUGUCCAGUCACAGUUAUGCUCACCUCUUCAUUCUUAUAUUCCUCGACCAAUCUCUUCACUUCUUCAAGGACCUAUACGUAACGUACUUUUUAAUUAAAUGGCAUUAAAUCAAAAUAUAUGUACGAAUUCAAGGUCAAAAUUAUAUAUACCUGAUCUCUAGCACUUGUUUUAUUAAACUUUGAUCGUGCACUUUCUGAUGUAUAAACGCUGUAGAAGCCAUUAUGCACCAAUGGUUUGGACAAAGGAAGUAAACCCUCAUCACCAAACACUUUUGGUCCUGGAAUUGGUAAAAAUUGAAGGUCUUUAACCCACUCCAGUGCUUGAACUGUUCCUCUCCAAGCAAUCACAAUAUCCCUCCUUCCUAGUGAAACUUUACCCUCAUCAGUAGCCACAGCAACAUAUCCCAUAAAAUUUGAUUCCGUAAUGACAGUAUCAGGAAAUGGCAUGAAUAUAUGAGUAAAUAAUAAAUUUGAUUGAGUUCUUUUUAAUGAUAGUCAUAAAUGAUGUGCUAAAUGGUCUGAAAUUUAAGUAAGUACAAGUGUACAACAUUUAAAUAGCCCUUCUUAAAAACAUAAACAAGUUUAACUUAAGAUGCAGAAAGUACAACUUAAUUACAACACACUCAUAUGUAUUAUUGCAUAUGAUGUGUUCGUAAUAACCCUUUAUUCAAACAUUACAUGGAAUUAAAGAAUAAAAUUAAAAUAGCAAGUACAUUAAACUCCAAAUUAAAUUAAACCUCAGCCACAACUAUGUCAUACUCCUCUCGAUCAUUGAGAACCCAUUUUCCAUCUUCUUGCUGAACCAUUCCUUUGUUCUUCACAGUCCACCAAUUUGCUGGGACAAGAUACUCACUUUUCAAUGCACCUGAAUAUUUGUUAACAAGCGCGAUAUUGCGAUCCACCUCUAGUUUAAAACCUGUUAAAAGUCCUAUACCUUGAGUUCCCGCAACUCCGUGCAUGUAACACUCCAAAUUAUGCCAUGUGAUGAUAUCUCCAGGGAGAUUUAAAUAAGGGGAUUUUGUGGUGUCGAUUAUUAUUUCCUGCCCAACGUCGGAAAAUCCAAUAGGUGGGCAUUUCGGAACAAGAUCCAAUAUGUUAUGAAUUCUCAUAACGUGAAGGUGUUUUAAUUUGUUAAAUGCGUUAACAAAAUUGAGAUCUCCAACUUUAGGACUUGCAAAUACAAAAGCUGUCACUGGAAAUUCCUUCCCAUUACUUGACUUGUUUAUUUUAUUGUAAGCUAUGUCAACUGCAUUCAGAGUCGCUAGGGAUGCACCUAGGCUAUGUCCAGUCACAGUUAUGCUCACCUCUUCAUUCUUAUAUUCCUCGACCAAUCUCUUCACUUCUUCAAGGACCUAUACGUAACGUACUUUUUAAUUAAAUGGCAUUAAAUCAAAAUAUAUGUACGAAUUCAAGGUCAAAAUUAUAUAUACCUGAUCUCUAGCACUUGUUUUAUUAAACUUUGAUCGUGCACUUUCUGAUGUAUAAACGCUGUAGAAGCCAUUAUGCACCAAUGGUUUGGACAAAGGAAGUAAACCCUCAUCACCAAACACUUUUGGUCCUGGAAUUGGUAAAAAUUGAAGGUCUUUAACCCACUCCAGUGCUUGAACUGUUCCUCUCCAAGCAAUCACAAUAUCCCUCCUUCCUAGUGAAACUUUACCCUCAUCAGUAGCCACAGCAACAUAUCCCAUAAAAUUUGAUUCCGUAAUGACAGUAUCAGGAAAUGGCAUGGAUGAAGUAGCAUAGAAAUAUUUGGUUACGCGAUACUUCGAUGCAUCAAGGCCAACAUUAGAAAAAAGAUUUUCCAUCGAGUAUCUACUUGCUCCAGCAUAUUUUGAUGCUUUUUCUGAAAUGAAAGUGUCAUAAGUUACAUGAGCUAAUUCUCCAUAUUGAAUGAUAUAUUUACGUAGAUCAACAUCCAAGGGGUUUAAUAACCCUUCCCAAUUGUUUUUCCCACUAAGUUCCUCCCAUUUCUCAGCCAUGCUAGACAUUUUUUUUUUCUUUUUGUUACUCUUAGUUUUUUCUUGGUAUGUGAAGUACAUUAAGCCCAUGAAUUUAUAGGGAAGCAACUUCGUUGAUCUCUAAGGUUUUUCCAUUUUCAUGCAUGAAAUAUGUUUUGAUUUUAAUUUUUUUUAUUUUUGUGAAUUAUUGUCAUAGUCCAGUAAUAAAUGAAUUAACCAAGAAAGCAUUAAAACUAGUACUAGUAGGACUAAUAAUAAUGACUUCCAUAUUGAAUUUCUGAACUACUACCACCAUUAACAUUUUGCUGUUUGGCCAUAUGAAGAACAUUUUAGCAUAUUUGAAAUAAUAUAUAGAUAGUAUUAACUUCAAACUUCAAAUAUAGAAUUAAAUUGCAUCAAGUUUUAACUUGCAAAACUUCAACUCGGUCUAGGGUUAUGGUGGAGUGGUAAGUAAUUAGGUUUCCGGUUCGAGUCCUCUAGGUACGAAGUCGCCUUUUGUUAGGGAGCGCUUUACCUGACAUGGGACUUCCUAGCACGAAUUUAGAUUUAGUCGGACUCCGGUGAAAAAAAAGAAGCUCGAUCUGUUUUAAUGUCCAAAUUGAACAAACUUUUAACUUAAAAUCAACUUAAUUUACUUCGAGUGUUAACUUUGAUAAUUUCAACCAAAUUAUGUACAGACACUUUAUCCUUAGUUUGAAUUUGUAGAGGGGAAAAGUAAGUUCCAAAAUACCUACUAUUUAAUUUCAUCACUUCAUUAAAUGACACUAAAAAUGGAGUCCCCAUAAACUCCAAAGUUUUAACAAACAACUAACCAAAGUACUAAUGCUGAUGAACAAUCCCUAGAACUUGAAAGUCAUUGUACCAAAACUCUACUAACGAUAAGUCUAAGAACAAGGGGUACAACCCCGAAACUAAACAACACCUUAAACAAAUUUCUGAGUCCGAAAAGAGCGGACUUAAACAAGAGAGAUCCAUGGCGGCCUGAAAGAACUGGCUCACCCUUGAAUACGGUCACACUCAAUAAUCACUUAGCUGAGGUCUAUCAAUAGAACAACAAACAGUCUUUCAACCUCAAUCACCAUUAGAUAUGAACGUAAUCAACACAAGUAGAUACACAUCACAAUUCAAUGGUCCUCUCACGGAACCCAAUUCAAUGGUCCUCUCAUGGAACCCAAAACCCAAAUUGUUAGUGUACCAAUUUGUGGUACCCGAUCCAAUGUUUAUGUCGGAACGUGGCAACCGAUCCCAUGUUUAUGCCGAAACAUGACAACUGAUCCAUUCAACAAACCACAAUCACAAUCACAAUGUAUAUUCUCACAAUCAUACAACAAGAGGUGAUUCAUGGCAUACAAUUAUUCAAUUAUCCUAAUUUACGAUUAGGGUGAUCAAUAAUGAAACUUUCGCAUACAUACAUGCAUUAUAAUGAGCAAUUACAAACAUAUAUCACACCAACAUGAAAUCACAACCAACACCUAUACAAGCUUGAUUACUCAUCUCUUUUCUUUUUUUGAAUUUUUUUAUUAUGUUAUUUCUUGGUCUCACUACAAGAAAAUAUACUUAUUGCUACGAAAUAUAAGCUAUGAAUUCAAAAAUCGUAGCUAUUACAUAGUAAUAGCCAAAAGAUUCAAAUUUCGUGGCUAAUUAAAAAUUCAUCAAAUUUCUUAGCCACAAAUAUUAAGUUUACAAAGCUAAAUCCUUGUAUUUGCUAUAAUCGCUAACAAUCAUGACAAUAAUUAUCUAAAUAGCUACAAUUUUAUUGCUAAAAUAAAAUUAUGUAGCUAAUUAUAACUUUUUUGCUACCCAAUAAAAAUAAUUGUAGCAAUAGCAACUCUUUAGCCAUAAUAAGUUAUUUGAAACAAAAUAUUGUGGCUAAAUAAAUAAUUUUGCUUCAAGUUAUAAAAAUAUGUGGCAAUAGUUAAAUGAUAUAGCCAUAGAGUUUUGCUAUAGUAAAAUUUCGUAACUAAUUACUAUUUUUUGCCACGAAUUUUAAUUUACCGUAGUAAUAAUAACAUUUUAGCCAUAAUAACUUAUUUGCAGAAAUAUUUGUAGCAAAACAAAUAAUUUAGCUUUAAGUUAUAAAAUAUUGUGGCAAUAAUUAAAUGAAAUAGACAUAGAUUUUCUUCUAUAAUAAAAAUUCAUAGCUGAUACUUAUUUUUUGCCACAAAUUUGAAUUUAUCAUAGUAAUACUAACCUUUCAGCCACAAUAACUUAUUUGAAGAAAAAAUUGUAGCUAAAUGUUUUUUUUUCAAGCUAUAAAAGUCGUGGGAUAUUAAAAAUAUAAUCAUAGAUUUUUUGCUAUAAUACAAUUUUAUAGUUAAUUACAAGUUUUUUUCACGAUCAUGUUGAAACUUAUUGAAGCAAUAGUAAUUUUUUAUACAUAGGAAGUAAUUUAAAAUAAAAUAUAAUAACUUAAUAAACAUUAUGUUUCGAGUAGCAAAAAAUUGUUACAAUAAUUAACUUAAUAGUUAAAAUUAUUUGUCAUGAAAAAAUGAUACAACUAUGUGAGUACAAUUGUGGUGAUACAUUUUAUCUAAUACAAGGUGAAACGUAAGUCUUGAGGUGCUUCAUCUUAUGUUGAGAAUUCAUUUUAUAUUACUCGGACCUCUUCUAUCGAACAUUAUAUUUAUCGAGCUAGGUUAUACGACUCGGACCUCUUCUAUCGAACAUUAUAUUUAUCGAGCUAUCUUAAUUAGAGAUGCCAAUCUUUCUAUCAAUUCAAUUUUACAAAAUCUUAAUUUGGAAGUUUUAAGUAUAAUUUAAAUAAAUAGAAGUUAUAAAAAAAAUAGAAGUUAUGUCUAAUUGAUUUGAUGUAAUUGUACUUUUUUUAUACAAAAAAAAAUGUAUAAUCAAUUUACAAAUCAUUAAAUAAUAUCAUAUUUUAUUCAAAUAUGCAAUAUGAAUUAUUCUUGAAUAUAGAUAGAUAAAUCAAUUGUUUGUUGAAUAUAAUUAAUACACAUAGGAAGCGAUAUUGAUAUUCAUUUUUUUUUAAUCUUCUGUUAUUGGCAAUUUUUAUUUAUUUCUUAUUUUAAUGUUAACUUCCUAAUCCAUAUAAUUUUUGUAUUUUCAAUUAAAACUACAAAACUACAAUACAAAAUUCACAUCUCUAUUUAAAUUAAAAUUGAAAUAACCAGACAAGUUGUCUAUUUUUUUCCUAUAAUAUUUUGAAUUCAUAUAAUUUUUAUAUUUUAUUCAAACUAAUAAUAGUAAUUCAAUAUUAAGAGUGGUUAUAAAUUUAACUAAACACUAUUCCCUCUAUUUCAUAUUAGUUGUCUAUUUUUUCCUUGACACGAUGCUAAGUAAUUCAAAAUAAAAAGAAUAUUUUUUACUACUUUACCCCAUAAUAUUUUUUAUCUGGAACUUCAUAAACAUGUUUACACUUUAAAAAAGAAUUAAUUGUAAGGGAUAUUGAAAAAAUUGUAAUUGAUUUUUAUCUUUAUUUCAUAAAUUGACAAUUAAUUAGAGAUAACUAUGAGUAGCUGAUCUCUUUACCAUCUUAUUGCGCGACACCUAACAUCAAAUAUCACCAAAAAAUCAUCAAACCUGACCACCUAUUUCACCAUCGAACUAAGGGGUCAAAUGGACGGGUUGAGUUGAAAUUAGAGAUAUUAAAAUAGGUUGAAAUAGAAAUUGGGUUGGGUCUUGACCCCCCCCCCCCCCCCCCACUNNNNNNGGCUUCCCCCCCCCCCCCCCCCCAAGUUUACUUUGGGCUCAAAUGGGUUGGGUUCAAAUGGGCUAAAAAUGAGUUGGGUCUUGACCUGUCCAAUUUGACCCAAUUAAUCUCAAUAUAUAAUUUUACAUAGUGAUAUUUAACUUUAAUAAUCACAAUUAGAAUUUCAGCUCAAGAUUUUUUUUAAAAAAAGUAACAAAUGGAUAGAUAAAUCUUAAAAGAUGUUAAAUAGAUAAUAAUUCAUACCUUUAAUAUAGGAACAUAUCUUAGUAAAGAGUUUUAAAACGGGUUGAAAUUGGAGAUUGAAUUGGGCUCAAUUGAGGAUUCUCUUAUAAUAGGUUAGGAUUGAAUGAGUUGAGAUUGAACCAAAUUCAAAUUAUCUUAAGCCCAACCCUUAAAAUUCUGGACGAAUUACCUAUGUUUGGGUUCAUUUUUGACACCCCAACAUCGAACACUCAACAAAACAAUUAUCAGCAUUUAUUUACAAAGAGCUUAGUCGAACAAUUGACAAAUUAAUGCUCGAUUAACCAUAACUAAUUCUGUGAAAAAUCUAGAGAUGGUGUUUUUAAGAGAGAAGAAAGGUCUAUAAAAAUACAUUAUAAGAUUGAAUUUUGUGCAAAAUUUAAUAACUUCUUACAAACAAGAAAAAGGUACGGAAGUGUUCUUAUUUCAUGUUCUCACAAUCAACAAAAAAGACAAAUAAAUUGAAUAAUCAAUGCAUUUGAAAAAAUUAAUGGUGGAAGUUGGAGUAGUAAAAAUUGAUCAAUUUUAGGUGUCUCGCUAAAAUCUUUUCCAAGCACUGAACCUAAUUAGUUGAACAACUUUGCAUAUCUUUGUUGUGAAUUUUGACCUCAAUAUUCUUUUAUGUUUUUUCUCUCAAAAAAAUUACCAUUAUAAAAAUUAAUUUGUGGUAAGACGAAAAAAUAGAGGAGGAGAAAUAUAAGAUGGCGUGAAGAUGAAGGGGUGGGGGGUCAGUGGCGGAUCCAGGAUUUUUGCUGAGGGGGUUCAAAGUAUAAAGAAGAUAACACAAGUGUGUGGUGAGCGUAGUAGCCCCUCGGCAUCCUCUUUGUAUAAGAAUCAUAAAUAUUUCAUUGGUUCAUAAAAGUAAAAUCUAAACUAAUCAAAGAUAUCAAGGACAAAGAUACAUUGAUAAGAAUUUUAGCGGAUCAACUGUAUUACAUAAAUUAAUUCCUAAAACGUGUGAAAAUUAAAUGAUGAAAAAGGGAGCGAGAUGGGGAAGAAAGAUAUUUACCUUAUCAUGCUAAAUCUAACAUACUUUAUUUUACCAUAUUAAACAUUUCUUUCUACUUUUAUCAUGCUCCAUCGAGGAUUCUUAAAAUUUCUUGUGUGUUUAUACUUUUAUUUUGUAAUGUUUUACUUUAGUUUUCACUUUUUAAAAAAUUAAAUUUGUAUCCAUUCAAUCACAUAUUACUAUGAAAAUCGUCAAGUUUCUCUAUAAAUGUGUAAGAAUAGAGUUACUAAUAUUAUAAUGCAUAUUCAAAAGAUAAAUGAAUAACAUCGUCAAUUUUUUUAGUUCAUAUAGUUCAAUUUACUAGGUUAGUCAUAAUUUGUAAAAAUGACAAAUAACGAAUAAAUCAAAUAAGUUUAAUUUUCAUCCCUCUAAAAUAGAAUUAAAAAUAUAAAAUAAUUUCAUGAAUUCUAUAAAUUAAUAUUUUUAAAAGGGUGUUAACGAUAUUUAAGUUUCUUCAUUAAAUUACAUCUAAUUUAUCAUUUAAAAAGUGAUGAUUUCUUUGAAGAAAUAUAUGAAGAGUAUUCAAGUAGUUCAGAAGAAUCUGAAUGAAUAGAGAAAUACAAGAAAGAGAAGAUUCUGUUCAAAUUUUAGAAACAGAAGAAGAUCAUCGAGGAUAUGCUUUGAAAGCCACCUUCGAUGGAGAAACUUUCAGAAAAAUCCAAGGAUUAAAAUUGAAUCUUAAAGUAGAAGAUAAUUUACUUAGCAGAAUGCAAAGAAUAUUUGCAAGAGAUAAAAUUUCUUAUCAUGAAUAUCAAGAAAUUGAAAAGGUAAUAGAAAUUACCCAAACAACAGAAAAACACAAAUUAAACCUGUUAACAAAAUCUAUGAUAGAUCAAAUUCUUAGGAAAAUCCCUGAAAAAAAGAGAAAGAAAAUGAAUUAUGUUCAUUUAGGAGGAAUCCAAAUAUUAGUCAAAUCGACUUUUAAAGAAGGAAUCAACUGUCCAAUAGUAAUAAACUUAUCAGAUGAAAGAUUUAUAAAUGCAAGAGAAGGAAAUCUUGGUAUAGUAGAGGGAAACCUAGCCUAUACAAAAUUCUUGUUUACAUAUUAUCCGAAAUAUUGUAUAUCACUCAAAGAUGCUGAUUUUAAUGACGCAUUGAGUUUACAUUUUCAAAUCAAAAGAAAUGAUUUAUUCAAAUCAGGUAAUCAUAUAAUGAGUAUAUAUUACCAAGCAUUAUACACAGUCACAAAUUCAAACUAUGGUAAAGUGUAUAAAAGUAAAGGAAUGAUCGAAAUAGAUCAAGAAUGUGCAGGAAUUGCGAGAAUAGUUGAAGCAGAAAUUCAACAAGCCCAAAUUCCAGAUGAAUAUGAAAUUCGAUUUGGAAAAACACAAGAAAUAGGAAGUACUAGUAAUCCUAGACUUUCAAUAGAAUAUGGAAGAAAUUCAAUAAGAGAAAGUAUAUCUAACAGAUAUUCAUUAAAAAUUGAAGCUCCAAAUAUAACAAAAAUAAAUGGAAGAAUUUUCAAUGGAACAGAAUGGAAAAAUCAAGAAAUCUAAUGGUAGUCUAAUAGAUGGAAUACCAAAAUACGAAGGAAAACAAUAUACUUACAAAACCUUUGAAGGUAAUAACUUUAGUUGUAAAAAUAUGGUAAAUAUACCUAUACAACUUGAUACUAUAAGAAUAACAGUACCCUGUUAUAUUACUAAUCACGAAAGUGAUCAAGAAUUAAUUCUAGGAAAUUUAUUCCUAAACAAAUUAGAAGACUAUAGCAUUGGAAAAAAUGGUAUAGAAAUGAUAUACAAAGGCGAAACUUGUUUCAUAAAAAAAAUAUAGAUGCCUAAAGAAACAAUUUUCAAAGUAUCGAUUUUCAUAGAAAUAACAUUCUAUGAUACAAAACUAACAACAUGCUGUCAGAUAGACAAUGGAUCUGAAGCAAGUUUAGCAAAGUCCUUUUUAAUAAAAAAUUGGGACAUGAAUAUGAAUAAUAUCUCAAUGAUAGGAAUCACAGGAGAUAAAGAAAAAUUAUCAAAAUCCAAAGAAAAGGUAGAAAUAAUUUUAGGAUCAAAGAUUGUUUCUAUAAAUACAUUGUUUGCCUAUGAUAAACUAGAAACGGAUUUAUUAUUGGGAAAUGAUUUUCUACAACAAUUUCAAGAUUAUCAUCAAACAAUAUACAUGAUAAGCUUAAAAAUUCCUUGUGGACACUUCAUAAAAGUUCCAAGAAAACAAAAUCCAUAUAAUUUGGAGAAAGAUAAUAAUGGAAAUUUAAAGAGAAAAUACUUAGAAAAUCUAAGAAAAAUUUCUUGUAAAUGCCUUAAUCUAGAAAAGAUAAAAGAAAAUUUACAAAAAUUAUACGGAGAAAAUCCAUUAGAAAAAUGGGAACAAUAUCAUGAAAGGGCAACAUUAACCUUAAAAGACCCUAGUAUAAUCAUUAGAGUCAAACCCAUGCUCUAUAACGAAGAUGACAAAAUUGAAUUUAAAAUUCAAAUUAAAGAAUUAACUCAAUCUAAAAAUUAAUAAGAAUGAGUAAAAGCCCUCACAGUAGCCCAGCAUUUAUGGUAAGAAAUCAUGCUGAAAUAAAAAGAGGAAAAGCUCGUAUGGUUAUAAACUAUAAAGAGCUAAACAAAAAUUGUAUCUUUACAAUAAAUUUGUGUAUUUAUUCUUUUAGCUUUUUUCUGGAUGUUAUGAGACAUACAGAGUUGACUAAGUCUAUUUUUCAGGAAACUUAUUCUCUAUCCUAGAGUGUCUCCUUUUUUGCUUUCUUUUUCGUAUUCUUCUCUGAAGUAUUUUGCCCAGAAGCCUGGUAAUUUUUGAUAGUAUUUUUCUAGAUAAGGUGUCAUUUCCUUACUACUAUCGAAUAUCUUGUAGUAAUAUUCUUCGAAUUCACAAGUAUAUUCUUGAAUAUAACUCAUUUUGCAAAUUUGUAAUUUUUCUAAUUGCUCUUUGGCAAUUGUUCUAAUUAUUUCUUUAUUUUCUUCUUAUAUAUAUAUAUAUAUAUAAUUUCUAUCUCAAUUUCUAGUUAAAUAUAAUUCAUCAUAUUUAAAAGAUUUUAGUUUCAGUUAGUAUAUGAAAGGAGUUACGUUGAAACAACAUGAAUAAUAGAUAUAAAAAUAAUAAAAAAUAAAAAUAAAAAGAAUGUGUCUAAUAAAUUUAAACAAAAACAAAUUAAAAAGAAGAAAUGGAAUAAAAUGAAAAAAUAAUGAAAAAGAAGAAGAAGGUCUAAGCCCAAAAGUUACAUUUUUCUAAGCAUUAAAAAAAAUAGGGGGAAAAUGUUACCCAAGGGAUUUGAACCCGUGACCUAGGGGAACGCACAUCUUGAACCACUUAUCCACUGAGCCAUGCCUGUACUUUGUUUACAAGGGGUUCAUUUUGAGUAUUACCACUAUUCUUCUUGGGAUAUCCACGAAGUUUAUUAAUUUCUAAAUCAACUUGAUUUUUAAAAUCAAAAGUGGUUUCCAUAUUAUCUGCAAAAUCAUCGGAUAAAUGAAGAGGUUUAGCUCCAAAUUUAGAAAAAGAUUUAUCAAGAAGUUUUUCUAAAUCAUAAAGUGGUUUAAAUACAAAAUCCUGAAUCUCAGGGGGUCUUUGCACAUGAGUAGAAAGUUCAGAAAGUGAUUUGGACGUAGAUGCUUGCUCAGAAGGUUUUAAUUCCUUUUUAAUUUGAAUUAUUAGCGCAGUUAAGUCAUCUAAUUUUUUAUCAAGAGAACUAAUAUGCUCUCCUAUGACUUUAACAUAAAGCCCCAAAUAAUUAUUUUGAGAGAUGAGGUUAUUAAUCUCAUUGAUACUUACCAUAGCAACAUCAUUUUCAAUAAACUUUUGAAAAGCAAUGAAAGUAAUACAUGUAUUAUUAGGUAGUAUAAAUGGUGCCUGAGGAGGAUAAAUAGCUUUAAUAAUAUUACAUGAUUCAUCUUUAUAGGAUCGUUCAAGAACAUUGAUGAAUAAAGGCAAAUAAGUGAUUAUAAACCAUGGUACGAAAAACAUAAUAUGAUUAUGUAAAGCACAAGUCUCAUGAAAUUCUUGAGAAAUAUUAUGCAAAUCCUCUGCACUAUAUGUGUUAAAAAACUAAGUUUUAAACUGGCUCCAUUUAUCACUUGCAAAUUCAUUUUGAAUAUAUUUUCUUGCCAGUGAACCUGGACUAAAAUCAAUUUGAUGUCCACUCAUCAUUAAUUAUCAUUAAGAUUAAAAUUCAUUUCGGAUGCAGAAGGAAUAUCCUUAUCAGAAAUAUUAGAUGAUUUAUCGUUUGUUCGAACAAUAUUUAAUCGAGGAUCAAUCAUGAUUUUAUCUUUAUUUUCAGACAUUUCGGAUGCAGAAGGAAUAUCCUUAUCAGAAAUAUCAGAUGAUUUAUCAUUUGCUUGAACAAUAUUUAAUCGAGGAUCAAUUUUAAUUUUAUUUUUAUCCGCAGAUAUAACAAAGGAUAGUGUAUGCAAAGAAGCAGCACGAUUUCGAGCUGGACCAUAAACAAGAUCAAUCGGCGAGAUGUGUUGGAUGGCAAGUAAUCUUCUAUCAGAAGAAAAUGAAUGUCUAUUAUAUGGAACAAUCUUGUCAUCAAACUGAAUGCAAAUCUUACCAUCAACAUUUUGAGUAAUAUGAGAAUAUUCAGUAUUAGUGACAACAUCAGCCAUCUGUUCUGGCGGUAUAACAAAAUCUAAAGUCCAAGUAGUAGGAAAAUUAAUCUCUUCCUAUUUUAUAGGUCUUCUAGUAGUGACCUUAUAUUUAGCAAAAUUAGUUUCAACUAAAAUGGUUUGAUCAGAUGUAUCAUAUAAUUUACAUCUUAGGUUUAACGUAGCAAGCAAUUUAUAAUAGAUUCUAUAAGAUAAACAAAUUAAUUCACCAGACGCAUAAUUAUAACCAUGCGUAUUAACAUUUAAAGAAAAAGCAUCAAGAAUAUUAGAAUCAGUAAAAUGUAACUGCAAAUUAGGUUGAGUAUUAAAAUAUACUCGGCCAUAAGCUACCGUGGAUUCUAUCGAACCCAUCAAAGAUUGUCGAAAAUUUAAAUUUCUAGCAUCACGAAGAGCAGCUAAGAAAGUUUCAGGUAACCCUUUAAGAGUUAGAGGAUUAAAAGCAAUUUGUACCAUGUCAAUAUGCAAGAAUUUAUAUUACGAUUUAUUUAAGUCAAUAUCGCGCUUAUUCAACAAACGAAUAGUUUGUUCAGACAAAUUUAACGCUAAAGAUUUCUCAGUAGUUUUUAUCAAUUGUUUAUUAGAGAUCUUAUCAAACCAACCAUAAUCAUAAAUGGUUUUUAUAUCAACUUUCGGAAUAGUCCAUUUGUUUAACAAAUCAAGGUUUUGAGGUAUAUCUACCUCUUCUAAUUUGGUACUUUUAGUACUAGUAUCUCCUAAAUCCAUGAUUAAGAGAAUAUAUCUAUGCCGAACUUCACAUCAAUUUCAUAUUACCAUGAAAGUUCCUAGGCUCUGAUAUCAACGUUACAGGAUCUCUGACCUGGCGGAUAUAUACCAUAUAGGAAUCACAAUAUCAAAAAAUUUAAUUCAAUGUGAUUAAUUCGAUAUCUAUUAUAUCAUACACAUCUACUUAUCUUAAUUAUUGAUAAUCAAAUUUAUUUUUGUUCACUUUUACUUCUCUGCUAUUUCAAAAAUAGUUCUUUACGACUUUUAACAUAUAAAGAAAAUACAAUUUUUUUUCCUCAUAUUUUAUCCUUAACGUUAAUUCCUUAUUCUUCAAGUUAUUUUUCAAAGCAUAAUAGAAAACAUCAAUUAAUAGAAAUAGUAUAGUAAAAUAGUCACGUCAAUCAUUAUUUUGUAUCAAGUCAUAUAUGACAAACAAAAACAAAUUUUAAAAAGUAUAAUAUUUAAUGUACUAUAAGAUUUAUACCUAACAAUUAUUACUCAUUAUAUUAAUUUAAUACAUCACUUUCAAACCAGCAAUCAAAGACCCCAAGUUAAUGGCUCAAAGGCCGUAUGAGGGAAGGUAGGAAAUAAAGCUACAACGAAUUUUCGUAUUUAUUGAGUUCUUGUCUUAGUCAGAAAGUUGUUAUUCCGAUUUUUUUAGAAAAUAAUUUAGUAGUAGUACCUAACUCAUAUAGAUUUAUUUUUUCCAUAGAAACUAGACACUUGUAUUAUUGCAUCAAAAAAUUAUAUAGUUUAAACUUUAAAUAUAUCCACAAUAUCAUGUACAAUUUAAUAUAGGAAAAAAUUCUUUCUAGAAAUUCCCUUCAGUGAAGAAAUAAAAAAGUACAAAUUAUGAAAGUGGUCAUUCGAUAUUUUGCUUUAUUAAAAAUUGAUCUAAUUAUCAAAAUUAUCGAAAUUGAACAAAUACGUUCUUCUUCUUCCUUCCAGUUUUGUCAUCAAUAACUUAUUUUCCUUUUUCUUCCUUCUUCAUUAUCAUCUUCUUGUAUUCUCCUUUUUUCUUUUUCUUUUUUAAUUCGACAUAUUAAAAACAAUGAAUCGUUUAGAGUGAACUAUAUAUGAUCAAAAGAUUCAAAAUAUUGAGAGUAUUUCAUAUAUAAUUUUGUUGGACUGUUUAGAGGUGAUUUUGAGUUGAUCAAUAUUGAAUAGUCAGUAUAUACUUUCUGAAUAGUCAAUGUAUGUUUCAUGUAUAGUUAAGUUAUAUUCAAUUUUUUGAAUGUAUCAUAAUAUACCGUCAGUGUAUAGCUCAUAUAUAGGUUAGCUAUAUUGUAUAGUUAGUGUAUAUUUUUUUAUGACUUUUGGCAAGAUAUGUUGUAUAAUUCAUGUAUACUUUUUAUGACUUUUGACUAUUUUUAUGAAAAUAAAAUAUGACUAUCUACAUUAUAAAACUAAUUACUUUAUUAUAUAUGUUUGAAACCAGUCCAAUAAAUUUUUUAGUUAAAUUAUAAGCUAUUUUAUUCAAACAUUAUAUAUAUAAAUCAAUACAAUCAAACAUGCUUGAAAGCAUCUAAAUAUUUUCACACAUCAAUGCUAUCUCCCAUUAAGAAUUUUCUUAAUAAUUACUUAUUUUGAAAGUAACUUUGCAACAACCAAUUUUUUCCAACGUAUUCCUGUAACAUCUCACAAUUAGAAAGAACUAGAAGGAAGUUUAAAAUUUGGAAAUAGUUAUUUUUGGAAAGUAUAAGGAAAUCUGGAAAAUUUUAAGUAAGUUAAAGUGCAUUGUCGGUCAACUUUAAACGACCAUAACUCCUAGAUCAUGAUGAAUUAGGUGUAGUUCCAGAUAUGGUUGGAAAGCUCUUGGAAUGAUCUUUCCAACGCCGCCAAGUUUACAUGAUUCCAAGUUCGUAUGAGUGAGUUAUUCUCUUUGGAAGUUGGGUUGUUCGAAUAAGGAAAUGCCCAAUCCAGAUUUUUGAAGGGUAGUUUGGUCUUUUCCUUACCCAAUUAAUUAAAUCCAUUUUUAAUAAAAUAAUUGGGGUCAAACUGAGUUAGUUCAGUUACACUUUUGAGAAAUAGAGUUAGGGCUUUUGGAGAAAAGAACGCAAGAGAAAAGAAGAGGAAAAGCAAGAUUCACCAAGAACGAUCGAUUUUGGUUGCGGAUUCGCCAGGGAAUUGACCUACAAGGUAUGCGAGUCUCUCAUAACGUUGGGUUCAUUCACCCACGCGCCAAACAUGUUUAGUUCAGCAAAAUUCGUCCUAAAAGAGUUUGUAAGUUGAUGUUCUUGACAUAAAUUCUUGAAUUUGAAUGUUGUUUUUGAAUUGGGAUGAAUUGAGAAGUUUCUGAGUUUGUUACCUCGCAUUAUAGAGUCGUUUCGAGUUAGAUUCUUAGGUACAUUUCCUGGGUAUCUGUAUCUAAAGGUAAUUUGAGAAAAAGAACCAAGGUUGUGUGAUUUGGGGCUGGAAAAUGAAGAAGAAAUUUUGUCCGACGAAAUUUGAGUAUGGGAGCGCGUCGCGCGACCUGUUCCCAGAAUUGAAAAAUUCUGCUCCGCUUCGCGAAGCUGACACGAGGUGUUCUGCCUCAAAAGACGUUUUCGGAACCAAAAGUUAAUUAUGCCUCCACGUCGCGGAUCCACCUUCAAAUCUUGAUUUUCGAUAUUUUCUCAUAUUUAGCUAUCUAAAAUCAUUCCUAAACAACAUGAGAUCUUUCCAAACACCAAUCAUAAUCUUGAAUCCAUAAUUCAAUUCAAGGAUCAGUUAAGAGUCAAGACAAAAGCACUUAAUCCCAAAGUCAAGAGAAGUCAAGAGUCAAGUAAGAGAAGUUCAUUUCAAGUUUUCAUAAGUCUUUUACAAACGUUCUAACUUUGUUUUAAGACUUAAGUUUUGAAGUUGAGUAAAGAGUAAGAGCAAAGUUCAUUUUCUUUAAAAUGAUAUACGGGAACUAAGUGUUUCCAAGAGUAAACGUUUUCACAUUUAAGAUGAGAGGAAACUGAGAUUUCCAAAAGAGUUUUGAACAGCAAAAGGGAACAUUGAUUCCAAAAUAGCUUUUUAAGCUAAGUUUGAGCAAUUAUCUCAAACCAGAGAAGAAGUUGUUUUAAAAACAUAUGAGCUAAGUAUAUUUUGGGAGUAGUAUUGAGCACCGAUAUGGGGACACGAGUUUAUAUUAACUCAAGCCCCCAAGGUCCUUGGCAACGUGAGGUAAAACGUUGUACCAUCACUUAGGCUCAUAGUGAUGGUUGUUGGUUAGACAAUCUCCCACAUAAGUUAUAUUACUUUCCAAAUGAGUAAAGUUAAGUUUGUUAUUGCUUUAUCUUUAACGAACUAAGAUUGUUUUCAGUUGUUUUAUAAGCUUUAUAUAUAUCUACCGCAUGUGUUUUAUUGCUUUAUAUUGAGUUGAGUAUCCAUGAGUUGAGAAGAGCCAGGUAGGUGUUUCUUCCAUAAUCUCUUUCGAGCCUAUGUUUGUUAGCAUUCCAACUCGCAUACUCAUACAUUCAAUAUACUGAUGCCAGUUGACCUGUAUUUUAUUAUGAUGUAGACACAGGUAACUAGGAUCAACAUCCAGCGUCUCGUUGAUCCAGCUUGAGCAUUCAGAGUCUAUUGGUGAUCCUCCUUGCAUUCAGGAGGACUCCUUAUUUGCUUUCUAGUCUUUCAGAUGUUAGGAUGAUCGGGGGUCAUGUCCCGACAUCCCUCUUUGUUUUAGAGGCUUCAUAGACAGUUAGUAGUUCAGUAGUCUUUCAUUAUCAUUCUUAUGUUAAAGACUUGGGUUGCCACUUUUGGCCAAGUUGAAUGUUUAAUCUUUAAAACAUUCUCAGUUAUUUUAUUAUUCAGUUCAAUUAAGUUCAUUGAUCAUUAUUGUUGACACCCAAUUUUGACCCUCCCGAUAAAAAUUAUUUUUUUAGCUUCUUAAUUUUUAAACGAUUUAGAAUAGCUAAUUUUAUGAAAUCCCAAAUAUUGUUCAAGUUAGUUUAAAGUAAUCUUGUCAUUUUAUAAUUUUUUGAAUAAUGUAUGUGUUUUACAUAAUUAUGUAUAUAUUAAUUAGUAUAUUUUAUGAACAUUCGAAAAUCGUCUCAAAAAUUUUGUCUAAUUAAAUAUUUGGUGAGUUUGUUUAAUUAUUUAAUAGUUUCUAAAUUUGAGUUGAUUAGUUUUGUUUUAUAUAUAGCCAAAUUAAUUAUUUUAUUUCAUUAAGACUAAGAAGCUCAUAAAUUAACUAUUAAUUCGUCUUAGUUUUGUAACGACUCAUUCGAUCAUUUUGAGUAUUAGAGCUUUUAUUGUAUAAAAUACUCUUCCGAUAGAUUUUAAAUGAGUGUUUUGGACUAUUCAUAACUACAAUUAUGAAAUUAGUGGAGUAGUUUUUAUAAUUAAGUUAGUUGGUAGUUAUAGAAGAUAGCAUUAAAAACAAAUAGUGGGCCACUUCUACCACCCCAUAAUUAGGCUUAAUAAUAAUUAGGGAUUUCCAUCGUGAGUUAGAAACUCAACAGAACUUCAACUACAGCGAUACAAAUUGCAGAGAGGCCGACGAGUACUUCAGGUAAAUCCAAUAUCCAAUAUGUAUUUGGUGAACCUGAACAAAGGUUUUAUGAUUAUUAUUAGAUUAUCGUUAUUAGACUAGAAUUUGAAGAGAACGAGUUUUCAGUGGUAGUGUUAGGUUGACAUCUGGUGAUUAAUGGCAAUAAGUGGUUGAAUUGUGAUUAAUUUCUGAGUGGUGACGUAAGGAAAUUAUGUAAUGCAAGAGUAGUAAUAUGGAUUUUUAUUGUCGUUAAACUGUAAGGGAAAUUGUGGGUAGUGAUUAUUGUUGCCUUGGGUUAAAUAAUUGGGUGAAAACUUCGGUGGAGACAAACUUGUCUCCCUGUUCAUUAUUUGAUUAAAUUAUUGUUAAGUACUAAAACAAUAGGUGGCAAAUUAUUAUCUAUUGAGAUUAGCAAGUGGAUUGCAGGCGAAAAGUUUAUAAACUUGAAUGGUCACUGUCAUGUUUUGAUAAUUUUGAAAUGGUUUUCGUGUGUUUGCUGACACUGGUAUCGUGACCAGUGGCUUCAGUUUUACCAUAUUAUAAACUUAAAUUUGAUAUAAUGAGAUGGAGGUAAUUAAAUAUAAGGUGUGGUAUAUUAUAUGAAUUACAUUAAAGUUAUGCUAAUGGGAGGAAUUAAGACUUACCCUUAGGUUUGAACUUUGGGAAGUUGAUUAUAGAAUUAGGUGAGUUUUUGGAUAUAGGAGGGACAUAGAAUAAUAUGAGUGUUUAUAGGCUUGUUAACUUACAAAUUAUGCCUAUAUACUUGAUAGAUUGGAAAGGUUCGGAGGCAUUGAGGAAAGGAAAGGCAUUGGAGAAGUAGCUUGCCUGACGUCAGUUCUUCGGUGGAGGUAGGUUAUGGUUUGUUCUAUUUGAUAGAUAAACUCUUAAUAGCGAUUAAUAUGCAUUGAAUGAUAUUGUGAAGUUCUCUAUGUACUUGACUGUGUGAUUAUGUGGCUUGGGUGUGUGGUUUGUGAUUGGUCUAAAAUCCUGAGACCGUGAGAUUUAUAAUCUGAAAACCUCUCUAUUGAAGUUAUGCCUUGAAUAAAGAGGGCUUGAUGUAAUAUUAUUAAUGAACAUGAAAAGUAGUGAUAAUAAAUGAUAAAUUAAUAAUAUUAUUGGAUCGGAGUGUCACGUUCCGACACGGUAUUUUUGGAUCGGAGUGCCACGUUCCGACACAGUAUUUUGGAUCGGAGUGUCACGUUUCGACACGGUAUUUUUGGAUCGAAGUGUCACGUUCUGACACGGUAUUAUUGAAUCGGAGUGUCACGUUCCGACACGGUAUAAUUGGAUCGGAGUGUCACGUUCCGACACGGUAACCUUAAGGAAAAAAUAUUGAAUUAACUUAAUGUACUCAAUCUCAAUGAACGCAUUUCCCAAAUGAGUGUGAUGUAGAGGCAUGAGUCCUCGUGUGUGUGCUUGAUAUUGUGAUUGAUUACGUACUUGUUUCAACUGUUACUUGUUCAUGUUGGGGUUUCUUAUCACCUGCUAAGUGCUAUAGUUGACUUUAUACUAUUAUUCAUUGUAUAUUAGUUUCUAUUUUGGGUUGACCGAUGAUACCUACUCAGUACGUGUUCCUUGUACUGACCCUUACUUAUGUUUUCUUCGUUUUUCUUUUGUGGAGUGCAGCAAGUGUACCAUCGACUUCGACUCGCCCUCAACUCUAGCCAGUCUCCAGCACAUCAGAUUUCAGGGUGAGCUGUUCCUUCUAGCUCGUGCUAGAUUCUCUCAGUUAUGGCGUGAUGUCCUUGAAUUUUGGACAUGGACCAUUGUAUUUACUUAUUUUGGGUUCUCUAAUACUUUUAGACUUGAUAUGUUAAUAACAGAUGUCCUUGAUGUGAUGACUUUCAGAUUUUGGGGAUAAUAUGUAAUAGACUUUAGAGGUUUAUUUGAUUGGUUACUUUAAUAAGUUUUGGAGCUUCCGCGUUAUUGUUGUUAGUCGUAGUUAAAUUAUUGGUAUAUGUUGGAGUUUAAAUUCCUUGGUCUGCCCACUUAGGAGGUGAAGUGUGGGUGCUACUCAUGACUCAAUUUGGGUCGUGACAAGUUUAAUUCUAGCCGAGUCAUCUAAAACUAAUUCUUUUGAUUACCUUCCAAAUCUUUAUGGAUAAAUUAUUAAUCUAUCACAAAUUCAGCUAAGUCAAACAUUUGCCUGCAUAUCACUAAAGAAUUGACUUUGGGCUCUUUUUGCCAAAGUUUCAACAGCCCACAGUUCCCUAUUCCCAUACAAUAUCAGCAAUUCCACCCCAAAUUCCAGCAGUGCCCAGCUGACCCAACCCAGUCCAAUUCCCCAACCCGAUCCAGCCCAUAUCUUCUAUUCACAAAAUGACCCAAAAGCUCCCAACGUUUUGAAAUCCCAAAGCUUCACGAUAACAGUAAGACCACGACGCCCCUCACAUCUCUAAUUUUCACGGCGAUACACGGUCCAACUCACGGAAAGACAACAACAGAGGGCAGUACUCUGUUUUCUUUGAUCUUUUCUCCAACGUCUCUCUCCAGCUUAGUCGCAGCAGCUGUUGUAGCAGCACGAAUCGUCCCUGCAUCCUUGAGAUGGAGCCACCUCGCUCGCCAAGGACGAUCGAUCAAUUCGAGGCGUCGAUUCGUCCCUUCCUCUUUCGGAAUGGGGCAAAAACUUCAGAAAAGGUGCCUCACCUAAAAUGGUGAAAGAUUUUUGGAAUUCAAAAUCGCUAAUUUCUCCUAUAUAAUCAUCUCUUCUAUUCAUUUGUAAGGGGGAUUUUUUUUUGGUUUCCAUUGAUACAGAGAACUAACCUAAAGGAAAAUAUAUAAAAAUACAUACGAAAUAGACACACAAAAUAGAGAGUCGAAAUUAAGCAGGAGUCGGUCUUCUUAAACCAUAUAAAUUUGGAGUCUAGAUUUGUGGUUUCUUUCCAGUAUUUUGCUCACCAAAGCUCAUCGGCAUUUGAUUCAAAGUGGUGGAAGCUUCUUCGUGUUUAGCUCGUCUUCCCGGUUCGCUGCCCCGAAAAAGGUAAUGUCUUCUCCUUUAUCAUACUCUCGUCGUCUCUUCUGCUAUUUCAAAGUGAUAUUUUGAUGUUAGAAAACCUUUAUGUUGUGGUUGUUUGCUGUUAGUUGACAUUGGGGUUGAUCACUAGUUUCGGACCUGCAGAUUACAUAUUUUCUGGCCUUACUUUGUUGUUAUUAUUGGUUGGUUUUUUCAUGUUUGAAGUAUGUAAUUUCUAUAGCGCUGGUUGCUAUCUCUCUAGUUGAGUAAGAAAGCAUGAUAUGUAUCUUUUUUAUUUCAUUUAGAGUUCAUUGUUGGUUAUGAAGAAAAUGGUUGUUUAUGCAUAUUACCUUUUUAUGAUAAGUUGAAUGCUUGUUUAUUGUGGGCUGUUUCUGGAAUUUUAGUUUUUCUUAACCUCAUGUCCUCCCAUUUUUGAGUUUGGUAAUAUCCAUUCACGCCAGGAGAAGUAUGCCUUGACCCGUUUGUUUUUCCUGUUGAUCACUAUUAUUAGAAUAUUUACUCUUUUAAUACUUACUGUUGGGAUUAUAGUUAGGCAUGCAUGGUCUAUUCAAAGCCAUUUAAUCAUUAUUUUUUUUAUUUUUUUUAUUUUAUAUAUUUUAUUUUAUUUUAUUUUUAUUAUUAUAUUUUUUAUUUUUUUUAUUUUAUUUUAUUUUUUAGUUGAAAAUCUUAGGAUAAGACAUUAAUUCAUUUGCUCUUAGUGGUUUAAGGUUGUUGAAAUAUCAUUUGUAUUGAUUUAAGUCCCUUUGUGAUACACCUUGUCUUCUUACAGUGUUUAAAUUGAAAUGUGGUAGUACAUAAGUUCAUAUUUACUUGGUACUUAUAUUACACCAUAAUUCCUUACUUACGAGUUUUCAUUUUUUAUUUUUAUGACAUCUGCCCGAGUUCACCAUGAACUCCCAUACUUUUCCUUGCAUUUCGAGAUAGGCCAUAAAGGCCCCAAUUCCUCCCUUCUCUCGACUCAGCCCCCAUGUCGAAUUGUGAAAUUGGCGUACAGGUUGAAGACGGUAUAUAAGGGUGGGGGGGGGGGUGAAAAUUGAAUUUUUAGAUUCCGGAAAGCUAAAAAAUGGGCUGAUAUACCCGCUGUAUACACUGGUAUACAGUCGGAAAAUACAGAAUACCGAUCCAAGACGUGAAAACUAGGGGUGCGCAUCGGUCGGUUCGGUUUGGUUUUAGGUGUUAUUGGUUCGGUUUAUCGGUUUUCGGUUUGUAAAUACAUCAAACCGAUAACCAAACCAAUAACAUAUUUCUUAUCGGUUUUUGGUUAAUCGGUUUAUGGUACUUAACAGUUCGGUUUUCGGUUUAACCAAUAAGAAAAUACUCAUAUAUAUUAUAUACACGAUAAGAUAAUUUUCAAAUAAACCAUAUGAUCUUUCCAGCAUUUGGCAUGAAAGUAAUAAUCAUAAAAGUAACAAUCAUUUUUCUUGCAAGUUUAGACACUAGAGACAUUCAAAGGAAAAAGUGUGAAAGUAACAAUCGUUUAACCAUUAACAAUAAGACUAGUAAAUUUAGUAUAGUCUUAUUGGGUUAUCGGUUUAACCAUUAACAAAAAUUAUAAAAUCGGAAACCGAACCAAUAACCCAAUAAAAAUUUUUUUGUCAAAACCGUUGAAAAACCAAUUAGCCCAAUAACCCAAUAUCAAUAAACCAAUAGUGUUUUUUUCGGUUCGAUUUAUUGGUUAAAUCGGUUUUUGCACACCCCUAGUGAAAACACAGGUGAAAAGUGCAGAAACACGAAGUUCGAAUGAAAUUACAGGUUCGGGAGUUCGAGAAUUAGAGAUAUACAUGGCGUUAGGGGUGUUCACAGUUUGGUUUGGGUCGGUUAUUGGUCAAAACCAAACCAAACCAACUUAAUCGGUUUUAAAAUUAUCAAAACCAAACCAAACCAAAUAUUAUAUACAUUUAUCAGUUUGGUUGUUUUCGAUUUUGGUUUGGUUUGGUUCAGUUAUUCGGUUAUUAACCAUACAUAAAAAUAAAAGAAACAAUCCAUUCAAAAACGUGAAAAAAGUGACAACAAUCCAUUCAAACAAAAAAAUAGUUAGAAUGACUGGCAUUAUAGAACUCUUGAUCACGAAUUUACUAAUUAAAACUUCAAAAUUCACUAUUUUGGCAUAGAAGGAAGAGACAAUGACUAUUUUUUAGUCCCACAAAGAAUUUUCAUAGACACUCAUAUACAUGAAACCAUUAAGAAAAAUGUUCUCACCUUUGGACUAUUUUUCUUUCAUAAGUAAAUUAUAAAUAAAUUUUGAUGAAACAUAUAUAAAAUCUUUAAAAAUUGUUUAUGAAUAUAAUAUAUUACGUAUGUAUAAUAAUAAAAUUUGUGUAUAUAACUUGUUGGUUCGGUUCGGUUAUUUCUUCGAUUUUUUUCUAACAAAAGCAUAAACAAACCAAAUACUAUAGGUUCUUAACAAUCUAAAACUAAACCAAACCAAAACCCAAAUUAAAUCGGUUCAUUUAAUCGAUUUGGUUUGAUUUUUCGAUUUUGAUCAAUUUUUAUCCAAACCAUGAACAACCCUACAUGGCGUAUACCUCAAAUAUACACUUUGUGUAUAUCAUGAUCAAGGAAGAUGGAAAAAGGGCCAAAGCCCAAAUGAAUUAUUACUUCUUCUUUUUUUGCAGAUUUGGAAAAUUUGGGCAAAAGCCCAAAUUCAAUAUAUCCCUCUUAAUUUAUUUGUUUAUCUAUUUGUUGAUUGACUAACGUUUUAUUUAUUUUUAUGGUUGAAUUAAUUAAUUCCCAAAGAUAGCCAUUUAGCUUUUAUAUAAAGAAAAAAAAACAUAAAUAGUUAUUUUAUACAUAUUCUUAUUACCUAGCUUCUAUUUUAAUUUUUGUAUCGUCAACACUUAGGUUACUCCCCUUUAGAAAACUUCCCCUUAGUUCCAUCCCCCUUAAGAUAAUUGUAUAACAAUAACAAUAAUAAUAAAAAUAAAAAAAUUAAAUGACAAUAAUAAAAUUAAAGUGAUGAAAAUAAUAAUAGUAAUAAAUAAAUAAGUUAAAAUAAAUGAGUUCAUUUACUUAGUUAAAAGUUUUAAAAAAUAAGUUAAAGUAAAUGAGUUUUUUUAUUUAGUUAAAGUUUUCAAAAAAAUAGUUAAAAUAAAAUGAGUUCUUUCACUUAGUUAAAAUUUCAAAAUUAUUCAAAGUCGUUAUGAGUCCUUUUGCUUAGUUAAAAUUUCAAAAUUAGUCAAAAUCAUUUUGGUCAAAUCGCCGGUCAACCGCGAGUUAGCGGGCAUUCCGAGGGCCUAACACCUUCUUGGAAUGUACAUUGAACUUCGAACCAUUUAUUUUCAAUUGGUUUUAUCUGUUUAAAUCUUUGGAAAACUUUAAAUUUUUUCUUGAUUUUUAUUAAAAAUUAAGUGGCGACUCUGUUCUUUUGGAAAUUCGAUUUCUCUUAAACCAUAAGUUUGAUCGAUUUUUUGAAAACUCAAUCAUUUUUCUUUUAUAAAUACUUUUAAAUAAAACAAUUAUAGAUAUGAAUAUUGUCUUCCGCUGAGUUAAGUAAGCCAGGGCAGGGGUUCGCUUGGUGCCAGCAAUGGUCUUUAAGUGCCAAUCCCUCUCAGGGUGUAGGCUGGGGGCGUGACAAUUCCAAUAUUUAUUAAGCCCUUAUCUCAUCCAAAAAGUUAUGUUUCGAUUCGUUAGAUGCUCAUGCUAUGGUAGUACCUAACUCGCAGAAGACUACAUUUUUAUUUCUUCAUAAAAGCUAGACACUUCGUAUAACUACAUCAAAAAGUUACAUAUUUUAAAUAUAUUAUAUUCAAUAACAUCAUGUAACAUUUAACCCGGGAAAACCUCUUCGAGGAGUUAGCAAAAAAUAAAGCAUACAAAUAUCCUCACACGUUACUUCUAUCUCCAAUCAAACUUUUCUUGGUAAUUUUCGAGCAAUUAAUUUUUUUCAACUUGUUUCUGUAUCUAUUGAACCCUUAUCUUAUCCAAAAAGAUAAUGUUUGAUAUUUUAGAAAGUAACUUGUGAGCCUUACUGGAUGGAUGUUCUUUCUAUUCAAUGCUAGUACGUCUAACUCACAAACGUCUAUUUUUUUUUUACUUUUCAAUUUAGUUUAAUUAUCUGAUUUUCAUUUAAACGAAGUUUUAAACUAUGAAAUAUUUUACUUUAAAGAGGCCGUUAGAAAUAAGGAGAAUUAAAAGAUUAAUAAGGAGGGAAUUUUUUACUCGAAAGAUUAUCGUCAAAGACAUUCUUUGUAAAAUAAAGAAAAAAUAAUAUUAUAUCAAAUCUCAUAAUAUAGAAAUAUUUUAAAAUCUUCUUCGUAAAUAUAUUACACUCCUACCACUUUAAUUUACAGCAAAUAGCCUAAGGAGUAUAAGAGAGAUCCACAAGUACCAAUUUAACUUUCUAUGUGCAUAAUAUUCUCAUUGGUAAAUUGUAUUUUAGUAGUCUUUAAUAAUAAUUUUAAAAUACUUGUAAGUUGUAAUGGUGUCGUCGUCAUUGAUAUUUUUAGCAUUUAUAAAAUAUUAGAGUGCAAAUCAUUAUUAAAAAAAUAAAGAUAAAAAUGUAACACAAAAAACACAUUGUAUGUUAAAUUACUCCAAUUUUUACGAUGUAGACAAGAGCGAGUGGGUUGUUACAAUAAUUUAGGUCAAGCUUUCACAUUUAGUGAGACAACGGAGCAAUCUUUGUCAACAAAUUAAAUACAAUCUCUAAAUAAACAUUGAUUGAAAACAUUGUUAAUUAAUCAUUAACAUAUACAUAGAAAAAAACAUUUUUUUCUCAACUUACAGUAACAUAAUAUAUACUCUACAAAUUUCAUUUUUAACAGAUGUGCAUUUAAUCAGGUCAUAUCAAGUAGAUUAACUAGCGCAAUAGGUAGAUUUUAUGAAAUGGAUAGUCUCCUCUUUGUUUGUUUUAAAAAUUCUCGAAGCAGAUAAGAAUGAAAUUAAUUUUACUAGAUGCCACUUUUAAAUUCGGAUAGUAUGGGUUAUGUUAGUAUGGAAUUAAUUUUACUGAAUGUUCUAUUCAAUGCUAGUACUGUCUAACUCGCAAACGUCUAUUUUCUUUUACUUUUUAAUUUAAUUUACUUAUCUGAUUUUGAUUUAAACAAAGUUUUAAAAUAUGAACUGUUUUACUUUAAAGAGGCCGUUAGAAAUAAGGACAAGCUAAGUUUGAGUUAAAAAAGUUAAUAAUGAGGGCAUUGUUGGCACGAAAUAAGAACAAACUUUGAAUUAAAAGAUUAAUAAAGAAAAUAAUAUUAUAUCAAAACUCAUAAUUUAGAAAUAUUUUAAAAUCUUCUUCGUAAAUAUAUUUCACUCUACCACUUUAAUUUACAACAAAUAGCCUAAGGAGUAUAAGAGAGAUCCACAAGUACCAAUUUAACUUUCUAUAUGUGCAUAAUAUUCUCAUUGGUAAAUUGUAUUUUAGUAGUCUUUAAUAAUAAUUUUAAAAUACUUGAAAGUUGUAAUGGUGUCGUCGUCAUUGAUAUUUUUAGCAUUUAUAAAAUAUUAGAGUGCAAAUCAUUAUUAAAAAAAUAAAGAUAAAAAUGUAACACAAAAAACACAUUGUAUGUUAAAUUACUCCAAUUUUUACGAUGUAGACAAGAGCGAGUGGGUUGUUACAAUAAUUUAGGUCAAGCUUUCACAUUUAGUGAGACAACGGAGCAAUCUUUGUCACCAAAUUAAAUAGAAUAUCUGAAUAAACAUUGAUUGAAAAUAUUGUUAAUUAAUCAUUAACAUAUACAUAGAAAAAAAACAUUUUUUCUCGACGUACAGUAACAUAAUAUAUACUCUACAAAUUUCAUUUUUAACAUGUCACAUGUGUGCAUUUAAUCGAGUCAUAUAAUGUAGAUUAACUAGCGUAGAUUUUAUGAAAUGGACAGUUCCCUCUAAAUUUAUUUUAAAAAUCAUCAAAGCAGAUAAGAAUGGAAUUAAUUUUACUAGAUGUCACUUUUAAAUUCGAAUAGUAUGGAUUAUGUUAGUAUGAAUUAUGAUGUUGAUGUAGUAGGUAAUUUAGGCGUUGGUCACUGAUCUUAGUAUGGAUGCAUAAUUAUAUCUAUAAAUAAAAUUUCCCUUUUCGACAAAAAAAAAAAGUCAUAACAAGUAUGUCGGUAGGCCCAGUUUGUAGAGUAAAUUUCUUAGAUAAUCACCCAUGGUUGGUGAUAAAAUUUGGAGCUCAAAUUAAAGUUUUUUUAAAAAUUUGAAAUUAAUAUUUAUCUAUAAAAUAUGAACAAAAUUCCAUUUCAUUAUAUUAUAUUACAAAGAAAAAUUCAUAAUUUAAACUUUGAAAAUGAAGACCCAUGCUUGACGUGAAGAGAUUGUUUAUACAAUAUGAGGGGAUUAUAUUAAAGAAUAACUAGUUAUCGAUAUUAUUGAUUUAUUGGAUCAAUGAAUCUUUGUAAAAUUAUGUCUAUUUUAAAAAUUCGUAAUAACAUGUAAUCGCAAACCUUUAUUUAUUAAGAAAACACAAAGAUAUACAAUUUAUUAAUGUGAUACCUUAGGAUAUCCGUUACCUUGUUAAUGAACUAUAUAUGAUUUGCCUGGUGAGAUUAUAAUAGUUUUGAUAAAUUGUGAGGAUUUUCAUAUUUAUGAAGAAAAAAUAUUAAUUAAAGAAUUCAAAUUGCAUGUCAAAUAAAAUUGAAGUUUUUGCAAGAACUUUCCCUGUUUUGGGUAGUCUAUAAAAAAAAUUGAUUCAAUUUUCUAGUAGAGCUUGGAUGUUGUAUUAAUCCCAAAAUUCAGCACCUACAUAUACAAGCAGGUGAAUAGUCUUUUUUUUGCCUCCAAAAUUAUAGCUGCAAAAUAGAAAUAUACCUAAUUAAAAUUAAGUUCCAACAAAUAGCAUCUAGUAGCCUUUAAUUGUCAUCCUUAAAUAUAAAUAAUAGUUUCAAUUUUUGUCUAUGUUGGUCGUUUUAUAAAGAAAUUACAGCCAAAUUACUCUUAUAUAUGACAUAAUUUUGCAAGACAAAAAACUUUUGUCUACCUUACAUAAAUUGUACAGCAUCUAAUUUGCAAGACACAAUUUAAACUGACAAAAACUUUGUAGGAAUAAACUAUUACUUGAUCUUAAGACAACUUUAUAGGUUUCAAAAUUGAAUGAAUACUUUUAUCAAAAGUAAGUUUUACAUGAACUAAGUUAUAUCUUAUAUAACAUAAUUUGUAGGCUACGAGCCUUUUAGGGUAUAACAUUCUAUUAUAAUAAGUUUUAUAAAUAUGACAUAAGUUGCAACUUAUGAACGUUCUAAAACUAGCCUUAUGCCUUUGUCGUCGUAAAGAUCUAAGUUUAUCCUUUUUAAAUCUUUCUACCAACCCUUUUUUUUAUUGUUGUUUAGCUUAUUAUAGUUAACCAACUAUCUUCCGCUUCUUUUUUGCAAAAUAAAUCUUUUCCAUUUAUAGAGCCUUCAUCUUUUCGUCUAAGGGUAUGUUUGGUAUGAAGGUGAAAAAUAUUUUUUAAUUUUUUCAUGGUUGGUACUUGGUUGGCUUAAAUAUUUGGAAAAUAUUUUUUAAAUCAACUCAUUUUCCUCAAAUUUAAGAAAAAUGACUUUUCUUCCUGUCAAUCUCCUUGAGGCUUGAGCAACUAACGAAUUUAUUUUUGUUUAUUUAAUAUUAGAAUUAUAUCAGUCAUUUUUGUUUAUUUAAAAUGACAAAGGAUAAAAAUUAAAUAUCAUUCCGAAAAAUAGAGGCUUUCCACAAAAUGAUCCAAUAAAAUUUUCAAGAGGUGUUUGGAUGGACUUAAAGUUGGUCAAACUUAUUUUUAAGUCAAUUUUGACUUUUGAAAGUCCUUCGCAGAGCCACAUGUAGUUAAGGAUUUUAAAAACUAUUAUUUUAAAGUCUAUUCAAACGGGCUCUAAGUUAUGACUUUUGACUUAUUUUUAUCAUUUUAGCUUAAAAUUAAAUGGUUAUAAAUAUUUACAAGCUAAUUCAAAUACUUCAAAAGUAUUUAAAAUUUAUUUGGACUUAAAAAUACUUGAAAUAAGUUAAUUUCAACAUGCCAUCGAUGUUUGACCAAAUUUUUUAGAAGUGUUUUAAAUGUAACAACGUCAUUUCAUCAACCAAGCUUAUAAUUAUAGAUAAUCCAAAACCACAACUUCAACUAACACAUAAAAGAAAACAUGUUGACACACACACACACAUAUAUAUAUAUAUAUAUAUAUAUAGCAAAUAGAUUGACAAUAAGCUUUAUCGCCCCGCCGUGGCUCCUUUCAGCUUUAAGCGUACAGGCGUUAAUGCAACACACUCAUUCUCCUUAUUAUAUUCAGUUGGUAUAACCAUAAUAUAUAUAUAUAUAUAUAUAUAUAUAUGGUUCUCUUUCUCAAGCUCAAGGAAACGCCUUUAUUAAAACAUUACAUGAAAAGAAAUAAAUUAAAAUGACACAUAAAAUUAAACCAUAAAUCUCUCACAACUCAUAUUCCUCGCGAUCCAUGAGAAUCCAUUUUCCAUCUUCUUGUUGAACCAUCCCAUUGUGCUUCUCGACCCACCAAGCUCCCUAAUUAAAUAUAUUCUCCCUAAUUUAUGUAUUUUAUUUUUCCUACUUAUCAGAUUCAUUAACACUUCAUAUUUUAAAUAUUAAAUUAACAAAACACAAAUAAAUUGGCAGAUUUUGAAGUAGUAACUUCUUUUCUUUUUUUUUCUUGUGUUGCUGAUGAAAGGGGAAUGUUUGUCUUACUGAAUUUGGUUGGACUUGUGUUUCUUUUCAAUUACAAUUUUUUUUUAUUAUUCAUUUGAGAGUUUAUUGGAUUUAUAUUCAUGCCAAGAAGUUUUAUAUAGAAAGUAAAGCGCUUCUUAGCAAAAAAUAUUUCAUACUUAGAACUCAAACAUAAAUUUUUAAUUUAAUAAAUAAAGAAAUAUUCAUCACUUUAUAAUUCUCGUGAAUAAAGGGGUGUAAUUUUCUAUCUAGAACUCAUGUUGUUUGAUCUUUUUAUCUAUUUUUUUAAAUAAUUAUAUUUAAUAGAAUAUGAGCCAAAAGAACAUUUCAAAUGGACCAACCUAAUGUAUAGGUUUACAUUAAAUAGUGAGCUUCAAAUCCCAAUAUUUGGAAACUUUUUUCAUAGUUUAAAAUGAAUUAUUUAAAGUUUUCAAAAAAUUAUUGAUUUUUUUCAUGUUUACUUUUAAUUUUAUAUUGUCUAAUAGAAUAACUUGAAGAUAACAAAAAAAAUAGUAAAAAAGGGAUUACGUAAAUUUGAAAAACAUAUUUUUAUAUAUUUUUCAUAUUUACUUUUAACGUUACAUUUUUCAAUUUAUAUGAUAGUACAUUUUUAGCUAGUCACAAAAAAAUAUAGUUUUUAUAUUUGAUAGUAAUUUAAUUUUAAAAUAUUGUUUUAGCCUUUAAAUAUACCAUUUUUUUAAAAAAAAAAGUCUUUUUAAAUUACAUGUCCAAUCAAACAAUAUCUAUAAAUUGGGCGGGGAGUGAAUAUUCAAUACUUUCUCCAUUCCAUAUUAGUUGAUCACUUUACUAUAAAUAAUUGUAUCAUAUUAGUUGAUCACAUUACUAAAUCAAAAGAACAUUAAUUAAAUAUUUUCUAUAUUACCCGUUAAUAUUUUUUGAAAUUGUUGACAUUUGUUUGCAAAAUUUCCAAGAAAUUUUUUAAAAGGUAAAUUAGUAAAACUAUCUUCUUAUUUAUAAUUUAUUAAUAUUCAUGAUAAAAACUGAUUAACUAAUAUGAAACGGGGCCGUUUCAAGAUUCAAUUGUUGACAUGUCACGUUCUAAAGAGUCGUUAUUUAUGUGACAGCUUUAACUAAACUAGAAAGCGAAUAAAAGAGUCAUCCGGAAUGCAAGGAGGCUCACCACUGACUCUGAGUGUUCAACUGGAUCAACGAGGCGCUGGAUGCUGAUCCUGGUUACCUGCGUUUGCAUCAUAAGACGAUGCAGGCCAACUGGCAUCAGUACAUUGAAUGUACGAUUAUGCGAGUUGGAAUGCUAAACAACAACUUAAGCUUAGAAAAAAGUAAGAAGGAACACUUACCUUGGCUCUGUACAACUCAUGAAUAACUGAACUCAAUAUAAAGCAAUAAGACACAUGCAAUAUAUAUAUAAAGCUUGUAAAACAGUAUAAACAACUUAGUUCGUUAAAGAUAAAACAAUAACAAACUCAACUUUAUUACUUAUAUAUAAAAGUAAUAUAACUUUUGUGGAAAAUUCUCUAACCGACAACCACCACUAUGAGCCUAAGUGGUGAUACAACGUCUUGCCCACGCUGCCAGAACUGUCCUAUACUUUGCCGUCAUAUAAAACGCUUAACUUAGUGGAUCCACUAGUCUAUGCUAAAAGCAUCUUAAGGAGUCAUCUAAAAAGUAUGAUCCUUUACUACCCAUGAUGGCUACAUGGUUUAUGGAGACUUAAGUUACUAUGAACUCGCAUCCCCAUAUCGGUGCUCAAUACUACUCCCAAAAUAUACUUAGCUCAUAUGUUUGUAAAAGCAACACUCUUUCUUUGAAUUGAGAUAAUUAUUCAAAUAAAGACUCUUGAAAACUUUAAGAAACUUUGCUUUGACUUGCUUCUUAACUUCUAGACUUGACUCUUAACUUCUUUGACUUUGAUCUUAACUUUCCUUGAAUUGGAUUAUGGAUUCAAGGUUCAUGAUCUCAUGUUUAUGGAUGAUUUCAUGAUGUUUAGAUGUACCUUAGAGUGUUAGAAUCAACUAGGAAACAUAGGUACAUCACUUAGAAACUAGUACGAAAAGAUAGGGGAACAAUGGGGUGAACUGGCGUCCUUGGCGCUCUGAGAGGCGUGGGGCGUCAGGCCCCAAAUUUCAGAGGACAAGAUGGGGUGUGUUGGCUGGCGCGGUGCCCCAAGGCCAAAACUUCAGACACUGCUUUGGGGCGCUCUAGCUAGCGUGGCGCCCCACCCUUUUACCCAGAAAAUUAUGACUUUCUCCUUCGUUUUUCAUCUCUAAACCCUUAAAUCUUCCCUAGUUCAACACGAAUGUCCUUCAAGAACUUCACUUUUUAACAUGUGAACAACCCAAAAUCGCUGAAUUGAAACAAGUUGGUGUGUGGAUGAACUAACCCAUCACUAAAAGAACGCUUGACGUUCUUGGCGAAAUCUUGGCUUCUCUCCCUUUCUUUCUUCUUUUCUCUUUCCUCCAAGCCCUAAGCGUAUUCUAAUUUUUCAAAACUGAAUUAAGUUCUGUUUUUAAUGAAUUAGGAAAUUAAUUAGAGAAAAGACUAGUUUGCCCUUCCUUAAAUCCGGAUUGGGACUUUCCUCAAUCCAACAGCCCAACUUCCAAAAGACAUAUCUCACUCAUAUAAUGUCGAAAUCGCUCAAACUUGGUGGCGUUGAAAAGAUCUCUCCAAGGGUUUUCCAGCCAUAUCAAGAAAUGCUCCUAACUCAUCCUGAGCUAGGAGUUAUGGCCGUUUGAAAAUGGCCAAAACUCACUUUCUUAACUUAGACAAAAAUUUCCAGAUUUCCUUAUUCUUUCCAAAAAUCAAUAUUUUCAUAUUUUAAACUCUUUAUAAUCGUUUCUAGGUGCGAGAUGUUACAGCACUAGUGACCACUUUUUGGACGGUAGGAAUACUAGUGUCUCAAUAAUAUAAUUAAAAAUAUACGUAUAUCAUUUACAAUGAUUGGGGGUAUAUUUAUCUUUUUUCCCUUUAAAGAAAGAAUUCUCCUUUCUAUGAACGCCAAUUAGUUUUACAAUGUUGUUGUUUCAUUGUUUGCACAAUUAAUAAAACUGGGCCAGGUCAUAGUUAAUUGAUAAAAAAAAAAAAAAUUACAAAAGUAUAAGCAGAUAUUAACUUUAAUAUUUGUACAUAUUCAAAUGAAUUAAUUGACAUAAAUAUAUUAUUUAAACAAAAUCUAGAUUCACUAAAUUCACAUCAGAAUUACUAGCUCCGCUCUAUAAGUAUAAGUUCAUUUCUCAUUUUGAUUAACUAAGUUACAAUCAAAUAUUUGCAGGUUUCAAGACCAUCUCUGGUCUGAUUUGGGAAGAACGAACCUAGAGUUUAUUUGUAACGACCCGUUUGGUCGUUUUUGAGUACUAGAGCUUUUGAUUUCAUAAAAUACUUUUCGAUAGAUUCUAAUUUGGUAUUUUGGACUAUUUGUAACUACAAUAUGGAAUUAGUGGGGUUGUUUUAAUAAUGAAUUUAGUUGGUGGUUAAAGAAGAUAGCAUUAAAAUUAGUAAGAUUUAAUAUUUAUUAGUUCAUAAUUAGUUACCCUAGAUAAUUAAAAGCACUAACGAGAGAAACACUACCUGCGGCGUCAACCAGAAGCGACUGCCAUCCAGGUAAUGCUUCAUCUCUUCGAUUUCCUUAAGUAAUAUGUAAUGGGUUUAUAUCAAUUGAGUGGAAAUCCUUGGGAUGCAUUAAUUAUCCAUUUGUCUUAUCUAUUGAAUAUGUUGUUUGUCCAAUUUUAGUGAGUGAAUGUUAGGCGAUAAUUAUGAUGAUUAUUAUAGUAUUGUAAUUAGAUGAGACAUUGGAAAGAACGAGUGUGCAUUGGCAGUAGUGUUAGGGUGAAGUGUAGUUAUCAAUAGUAGGAGUGAUAAUUAUUGUUUUAUAAUUAAGGUUUGGAUGGGAAUUUAGAAUGGAUAGUAGCGGCAGGAUUGUGGGAGACAAACUUUUGUGAGUAAUUAUUGGCAAAUGUGUGCCAUUUCAACAUUUAAGAAUGAGGUUAUAGUGUAUUAUCAUAAAUAAGUUAGUUUGCAUUUUAUUGUUUUAGGGUGAUAUUCACAAUCAGUAGCUUAGCUUUAAUGUUCGUUAUUACGACAUAAUUGAAAUGAUGAUAUAUGGGUUUAAGUAAGUAAACUAUAUUAUAUUAUCAUAAAUAAGUUAGUUUGCAUUUUAUUGUUUUAGGGUGAUAUUCACAAUCAGUAGCUUAGCUUUAAUGUUCGUUAUUACGACAUAAUUGAAAUGAUGAUAUAUGGGUUUAAGUAAGUAAACUAUAUUAUAUUAUCAUAAAUAAGUUAGUUUGCAUUUUAUUGUUUUAGGGUGAUAUUCACAAUCAGUAGCUUAGCUUUAAUGUUCGUUAUUACGACAUAAUUGAAAUGAUGAUAUAUGGGUUUAAGUAAGUAAACUAUAUUAUAUUAUCAUAAAUAAGUUAGUUUGCAUUUUAUUGUUUUAGGGUGAUAUUCACAAUCAGUAGCUUAGCUUUAAUGUUCGUUAUUACGACAUAAUUGAAAUGAUGAUAUAUGGGUUUAAGUAAGUAAACUAUAUUAUAUUGAUAUCAUUAGAUUUAUGAUAUUUAAAAGAAUUGAGACUUAACUCUAGACUAGGCAUAUAGUGAUAUGAGGAUCGAUAGAAUUGUUUACUUACGAAUAAUGUACAAUUGAUAGAUCGAGAAACAUUCGAGUGUGAUGUGGAGGCAUGAGUCCUCGUGUGUGUGCUUGAUAUUGUGAUUGAUUACAUACUUGCUUCAACUGUCACUUGUGCAUGUUGUUGUUUCUUAUCACCUGCUAAGUGCUAUAGUUGACUUUAUACUAUUAUUCAUUGUAUAUUAGUUUCUAUUUUGGGUUGGCCGAUGAUACCUACUCAGUACAUGUUGCCCCGUACUGAGCCCUACUUGUAUUUUUCUUUGUUUUCCUUUUUUUUUGGAGUGCAGCGAGUGUACCAGCGAAUUUGACUCGCCCUCAGCUCUAGCCAGUCUCAGUAUAUCAGGUUUAAGGGUGAGCUAUUUAUUCGAGCUUGUGUUGGAUUCUCUUGGCCAUGACUUGAUGUCCAUAGUUUUCGGACACAAAUUACUUUAUUUCAUUUAUUUCGGUGUCUUUGAUUCUCUUAGACUUAGUAUUUAUAGAUUAUAUGUCCUUGAUGUGAUGACUUUCAGAUUUUGGGGAUAAUAUGUAAUAGACUUUAGAGGUUGAUUUGAUUGGUUACUGUAAUAAGUUUUGGAGCUUCCGCAUUUUAUUGUUGUUAUUUGGAGUUGAAUUAUUGGUAUAUGUUGGGGUUUAGAUUCCUUGGUUCGCCCACUUAGGAGGUCAAGUGUGGGUGCCACUCAUGACUCAAUUUGGGUCGUGAUAUUAUUCAUCUUGAUAGGUCCUCUCAUUUUAUUUAUUUUUUAUUUAUACAACAAUCAACCUUACUAUAUUUUAAUGCAUAAAUGAUCUCAAAGAAUUAAACGAUGCAAUAGCAUAAGUUACAAUUCAACUUACUUUAUGUAAUAAUGAAACAUAAAACUUAGCUAAAUUGUGCUCUAACAUAUUUUAAGAUCUAGAAAUAUGUAUAUGUACAUCUUUUAAACAAAGAAAAAAUCCUUUUGGUCAAAAUAUUUGAUCAGAAUUUGGCCAGAAUGAUAUUUUACUUAUGUUAUUUUACUUUUUAAAACAUUUUUACCCUUUUAAUUUUAAUACAUUUUAAUUAAAAAUAGAAAAAAGAUUAGUUUAUUUUAAAAUUAAAAAAAAAAUUAUAAUUUCUAACCAAUUAUUUUACCAAAUUUUCAAGCCAUUUAACAUUGCCCUUAAAUAAAAACAUAAGUUUUCAAAUAUCUUCAUAACUAAUCUCUACAACUAUACUUCUUUUCAGUAUCAGACAAAUUUAUAUCUUUGACCAUUCAUUUUCCAACGCGUUUUCCAAUGCAUCAUGAAUUAUUAUAUUCCCAACAAAUUAAAUUGGAAUAUUAAAAGCUUAUAAGGAAAUAACUAUCACUAUUCAUAGCCAUCCCAUCACUACUCAAUGCUUUCCAUCCUCUCAUAAUUGACUGUAUGAGAAGGACACAAUGAGUCUACAAGAACAUUUUAAAAAAAACACUUUCUCACACCUUAAUUACUUAUUUAUUUUUGAAUUGACACCUAUUUUAAAAAACAAUUAAUACUCCCUCCGUCCACAAUUAUUUAGCAGGUAUACUAAAAAUAGAUGUUUAAGAUUAAUUGUCAAUUUAAACAAUCAAGAAAUAAUUAGUCAAGUUUUUCCAAUUUUGCCCUUAAUGAUAGUGUAGUUUAAUUGAAAAGUUAAGUGAACUUUUGAUAUUCUUGGUAUAGUAGGGUUAUAUUAGUCAAAUUACACCUUAUAUUAAAUUUUCCUUAAGGGAUGUGCAUGACCUUACCCUGACAAACAAUUGUGGACGGAGGGAGUAACAUAGUGAGUUUAUCAUUUUACUCCUAUUAAUUAUGAAAUGAGUGAAUUAAAAACUUAAGAUUUUCAAGAACUUUUAUCUCUUUCAAAGUAAAUAAUUGAGGGUAUAAUAGAUUUUAAAAAAAAUUAUCCUUUCUUAAUUUGUCAAAAUAGACAAAUAUAACUAAAAAAAAAAUAGGCAAAUAAUUAAAAAAAGAGGAAAUAUUAUCUUUUCUUGCGUAUAUGUAUAUCUAAAAAAUUAGUACGGACAGAGGAAUUCAAUUCUUGAUUAUUGAUUAUAAUAUGCCUGUUGUGCUGUAAUUUUCCUAUUUUUAGAAAAAUCACUUUUUGAAAUGUUCUAAGUAUAAAAUAAUUUGAGAAAAUACUUAGAAAAGAAUAGCCACUUAAUUUUUUAAAGAAAUCAAGAAAAAUUAUAAUUUUCAAAGACCUAAACAGAAAAAAUCAUUUGAAAAUAUAAAAAAAGAUUCGUGAUUCAAUUUACACUUCGAGAAAGAUUUAAGCAUUCGAAAUAUCCGCUAACAUGCGAUUGACCUGCGACUUGACUGAAAUACAUUUGACUAUUUUAAAAAUAAAUAACAAAAUAAUGAUUUAACAUAAAAAUAAUAGCUUAUAAUAUAUUUGAUUAAGAAAAUAAUUAAAUAGAUGACGCAUUUUUUAUUUUUUAUUUUUAUUUAAUUAUUUUUAGAGAAGGGAACCCAAAAAUGAAACAUUUAAAUUAAAUUGCAAGUAAAUAGAAUUUUAACACAAUUAGGUUAAUUAGGAAUUGCUUGACUCAUUUUUUUAUUUUUAUUUUUAAAUAAUGAUUUAAACUCAAUUGGUAAAUUUAAACAUGAAAACCAUUUUUUAUUAAUUGAAGAAUAAGAGCUUUGACUAGCCUUUUUUUUUUUUUUUUGAGAAAAUGACUAAGUAAGAAGGGAACAUUUUUAGUUCAUUUGAGAAAAAAUAUUUUAACUUGAAACCACUUAAAAAUAAAAUGUGAUCAAGUGAAUCAGCCUUAAUACAUAUUUUUUAAGAACAAAGAUUUAACUUAAUUAAAAUAUAAAAUUCGACCAAUAUUUGAUUAACAAAAUAAGUGAACACAACAAGUGAAAUGUAUUAAAAUAAGCCAACACAAAGAAAAUGACUCGUUUUUUUGGGGAUUCUAAUUAAGUUAUUUAAAGUUAGAAUUAAAUAAGAUUAGUCAACACAUAAUCAAACACUUAGAGUAGUAAACGAGAUAAUGAAAUUGGGCCCCUUCUUGGGCCAAUUUCGCUGUAUUUUUAAGCCUUAAUUCAAUUCCCGUUUUGCGUAUAUACCGGAUGUAUAUCAGUGUAAAUGAGCAUAUAUAUUAGCUUUUUUCAUGUAUCUCUUGCUUCCGAACACCUGUAUUUCGCCGCAAGCCUGUAUUUUCACAUUUUUUUACCUGUAUAUGAGUGUAUACUGAUGUAUAUCAAUGUUUACAGGCUGUAUCUCAGCCUGUUUUCAGCUUUCUGAGACUUUUGUGUCUGCGUACUGUUUUGUGGAACCUUCCGAAACUCGAACAAAGAUAAAGGCCAACUCAAUAAUGGAUCUUAACUCAACGAAAUGCGGGGAUGGAGUCCCAAGUGGACUUGGAUAAAUUUACAUACAAAAAAAAGAAGAGGAAAACAAAUUAGUAUCACUCUAAUUAAUCAACUACGCAUGUUUGAUAAUUUGACUUUCCAAAUCAGUAACAACACUUCCAGGGGAAUUGAAAAUCACUUUACAAGAUUGACACUCAAGUGAUAAAUACAACAAAUUGCCUCCGUGAUUUGGCAUUAAUAUUUUAACAAGAUUAAGAGAAGAACAUGAUUCAGUACACUCAAGUAAUUCCUAAGGCUACUGUUAAUGUAUAUAAAGUUCAGAUCAAAUUAUUUUUGAUAAUGUAUGAGGGUACUGUAUCAGUUUUUAUGAGGGAAAUGAAACUAGAUACACACUGCCAAGACAUAACUGGAAGAUAACAGUACAACUUCUAGUAUUCAAGUAAUCUUAAAGCUUCGCAUCACUGUAGCACAAUAAAAGAAGAACUCAAACCAAUUGUCUGCUUUCGAACACCCAGUAACAAGUAAAUGCUUAAUUUAAAGUAAAACGAGGCGACACUCAUUGAACAAAUUCCUUUCUAAUGCUUAGUAAAAUUACAAACCAUGAAGAGAUGUAGAAUCAUUUACUCUUGUACAUCUAGAAGAGGCGGCAACAGACCCAUGUAACACCGAAACGAAGUCGAACACUUUUGAGUAUGAACAAACCAGUAAAUAAACUAGUGAGGUAUGACAAGAAUUUGCAUAAUUUGUUAAUAUGAAGGAAUAUGGUUUUAACAUUUUUUACAACUUUAGCGAAAGGAGUGGGAGAAGGGAUAAACAUGAUUCAUCAAUUUCCAGGGCAUUAAUCCAACAAUAAUAUAAUAAUACGACUAAAAAAUAAAGAGAUAGAGAAAGCUACUGAUCUAAGCUAAAUAGAAAGCCAAGGAGAUGAACACUUCGGGAGGUCUGGCCUUUUUCUUUUUUUUUUUUUAAAUAGAGAAAACAACAUUACAAUAGCUAAAUAAAGGAAACCAGCGAUGCUAAAAGACAGCGGAAACAAGAAUAUACAGAUUUAACGACAUCAAAGCAAGCAUACGAAAAGGAAAAUAGCAAAGCGCUUUCAAACAGAGGAGUAGAGGAGCAAUGAUACUAAAUACAUAACACAAAAUUAAAUCAAUAUAAAAACUCAAUCAUAGUAACCGACUAAGAAUAAUGCAUCAUAUCAGCAUAUCACUAACUCGGCACAUGAUAACGGACCAGCCACAGAACAAACAUUUUCCAACAUCGGAAAAUACCACAUCAAAAUAAAUGAAUAGACGAGAAUACUAUGAAGGAGGAAACAUUACCUUUUUUCCGGGCAGCGACUGAGACAACGUGCAGGGGGCAACUUUCCACGACUUUUCUACCACACUAGUGCGGACUCGAGCAGCCAAAAGCAAACGAAUAAAAACAAAACCAACUGACCUUUUGUAUGCUAUUUUCGUAUGUGAAAUCUUGCCCUCAAAAUCCAAUCUUUUUUUUUUUUUAUCAAUUUCGCCCCGCCCUUUAGUGAUUAACAAGGAACUAUUUAUAGAAGGGGAAAUAUGGUUCACGAUUUUUGGGGGGAAAACGGGUGAAGAACGGAUAGGAAUAGGGGCCAAUUCGGAAUUCCCCACAAAUUCCCAAAUUCAAAUUCUUUACCAGGAUUAGAGAACAGUUGGGUUUGGUACGAAAUUUCUUCCAAAAUCCCAGAAAAUCCGGACGAGGCAGCAGCGUGGACAACUUCGAUCAAAUCCACCGCCCUUGCGCUUGACGUGGCGCCAUCUCAUAGCCACAAGGUCGAUUGGACGCUGCUGGCAGGGCUGGAACGAGUUGGUGAGGGCAGAGGAGGGAGACGUGGAAAGUUGCUGGUUCCGUGAACUCCGCUGUGUGAUUUGACUCCGUUUGGUGUCGUUGCUGCUACUGUUCGAGUUACCGCUGUGUGAUUUGACUCCGUUUGGUGCCAUUUACUCGUUGCUUUGAUGUUGCUGCUGCUUUGUCGUUGAAAUUGAAAGGGAAAAAGGGGAUGGGGCCUGGUCAGGGGGAAUUGGGUCGAUUUGGAAUUGUUGUUUGGAUAUGUUGUAUGUGUAUUUUGAAUUGGAAUUGUGGGCUGGAAUAUGGUUGCUGCAUUGUUGUUAGGCUGGAAACUAUUUGUUGUACAGGAAAUUGGAAGUGGGCCUUUAGGAAGUGGCCCAAAAUUAUUCUUAAAAGAUGGGAUAAGCAAUUGACUAAAAAUUGUCAUUAAAUAAUGGAUUUCAAUUAUUGCCGAUUAGAAUUUAAUUGGUGAAUUCGGCUAAAAUUUAAACAAGAUGAGUUAAUACAAAUUCAUUAAUGAGCUUCUUAAUCUUAACGAAAUAAAAAAUAAUUAACUUAAUUAUAAACUAAUUAAUUCAAUUACAAAACUAAUUAACUCAAAAUUAUAACUAUAACUUAAAGUAAAUUAAUAAAAUAUUUAACUAACAUGUAAAAUCUUUUGUGAUGAUUUUCAAAUAUUUAUAAAAUAACGUGAUUGCAAAAAAUAUACAUAUUUAUUAUUAAAAAAUGAUAAAAUUACUUUAAACAUAGCUUGAAAGUAUUUUGAAUUUCAUAAAACUCAUUAAUUCAAAAUUAUAACCAUCUCUAAUAUUUAAAAUAUAAAAUCUUUUUUGAGGCGAUUUUCGAAUAAUCGUAAAAUAUACUAAUUAUAUACAUAAUUAUGUAAAACAUAUAUAUCAUCUAAGAUUUAUGAAAAGUGACAAACUAUUUAAAAAUCUUGCAAACUAUAUUAUUAUUAUUAUUUAUUUAUUUUCAUUAUUAUUACUUUUUUUAGAAAUUUUAUAAAACUAAUAAUUUUAAAUCGUUUGAAAUUGGAGAUGCUCUAAAUGAUUAAUUUAUAUUGUGGAGGGUCAAAAUUGGGUGUCAACAAUGCCCUAUUUUCAUAGAAAUAUUAUUUUAUUCAAUAAGCAUAGUGCAUGUAUAAUAGUAUGUCUUUAUCUUUACAUGGUUUAACUUUUAACAUAUUGGAUCUUAAUUUAUUAAUUGCAUUGUGUCUUAAUCUACUUGUACGAUAUAACAUGGUUUAACUUUAACAUAUUGGAUCUUAAUUUAUUAAUUGUAUCUUAAUCUACUUGUACGAUAUAAUUAAGACAUUGCUAUGUAUAAAUACACAUAGAUAAAAUCUUACCAACAUUAGUUAAUUAGAUCCAAUAUCGCUAUAGGUUUUAAAGACAUUUACAAAAAUAUUAAGUGCUACUUAAAACGUAAAUGUAAUAUUAAUUAUAACUAAAGAUCAUUUUCGGGGGGAAAAUGAGUAUCUUUCUUCCAACUUUUAUUAUUGAUCGAUGGAUCAGUGGAACUAUAUAUUCAUAUUUUAUUUUGUAACUAAUUACUACCUAGUACUAAUUACCAUACAUUCUUAUCUUUAAGUUUUGAAUUCAUUUAACAGAUAUUUACUACUUGUUUAUAAAAAUAUUCAAUUUGAGGAUUGAGCUAGAUGUUUCAAUAUAUUCAAUUCUUCAUUUCUUUGCAUGAAAUAAUUCAUCGAUUAAAUUUAUAACUCGCCUUAUCACAUCAUGCAUGUGAAAUAUAUCUAAUAUAUGAGUAAAUAAUAAAUUUGAUUGAGUUCUUUUAACGAUAAUCAUAAAUGAUGUGCUAAAGGGUCUGAAAUUUAAUUAAGUACAACAUUUAAAUAGCCCUUCUUAAAAACAUGUAUACAAAACAAGUUUAACUUAAGGUGCAGAAAGUACAACUUAAUUACAACACACUCAUAUGCAUUAUUGCAUAUGAUGUGUUCGCAAUAACCCUUUAUUCAAACAUUACAUGGAAUUAAAGAAAUAAAAUUAAAAUAGCAAGUACAUUAAACUCCAAAUUAAAUUAAACCUCAGCCACAACUAUGUCAUACUCCUCUCGAUCAUUGAGAACCCAUUUUCCAUCUUCUUGUUGAAACAUUCCUUUGUUCUUCACAGUCCACCAAUUUGCUGGGACAAGAUACUCACUUUUCAAUGCACCUGAAGAUUUGUUAACAAGCGCGAUAUCACGAUCCACCUCUAGUUUAAAACCUGUUAAAAGUCCUAUACCUUGAGUUCCCGCAACUCCAUGCAUGUAACACUCCAAAUUAUGCCAUGUGAGGAUAUCUCCAGGGAGAUUUAAAUAAGGGGAUUUUGUGGUGUCGAUUAUUAUUUCCUGCCCAACGUCGAGAUAGCCAAUAGGUGGAUAUUUCGGAACAAUAUCCAAUAUGUUAUGAAUUCUCAUAACGUGAAGGUAUUUCAAUUUGUUAAAUGCGUUUAAAAAAUUGAGAUCUCCAACUUUAGGACUUGCAAAUACAAAAGCUGUCACUGGGAAUUCCUUCCCAUGACUUGACUUGUUGAUUUUAUUGUAAGCUAUGUCAACUGCAUUCAGAGUCGCAAGGGAU